AGUUCAUAUGCUUUUCUCAAAGAUUAAGCCAUGCAUGUCUAAGUACAAGCCUCACUAAGGUGAAACCCCGAAUGGCUCAUUAAAUCACACCUAAUCUACUGGAUAGUUAACAGUUACUUGGAUAACUGCGGUAAUUCUGGAGCUAAUACAUGCACAAAGCCCCGAACUUACGUGAGGGGCGCUUUUAUUAGAUCAAAACCAAACGGCUUCGGCUGUAUCCUUGGUGACUCUGAAUAACUUUGGGCUGAUCGCAUGGCCUAGCGCCGGCGACAUAUCCUUCGAAGGUGUGCCCUAUCAACUGUCGACUGUGGCAUAGACGCCCACAGUGGUUUUGACGGGUAACGGGGAAUCAGGGUUCGAUUCCGGAGAGGGAGCCUUAAAAACGGCUACCACAUCUAAGGAAGGCAGCAGGCACGCAAAUUACCCAAUGACCGAAGGUCGAGGUAGUGACAAAAAAUAACGAUACGGGACUCAUCUGAGGCCCCGUAAUCGGAAUGAGUACACUUUAAAACCGUCCCCGAGGAUCUAUU
rnacentral:rRNA from 1 species